UACGUAGGUGGCAAGUGUUGUCCGGAUUUACUGGGCGUAAAGGGAGCGUAGGUGGAUAUUUAAGUGGGAUGUGAAAUACUCGGGCUUAACCUGGGUGCUGCAUUCCAAACUGGAUAUCUAGAGUGCAGGAGAGGAAAGUAGAAUUCCUAGUGUAGCGGUGAAAUGCGUAGAGAUUAGGAAGAAUACCAGUGGCGAAGGCGACUUUCUGGACUGUAACUGACACUGAGGCUCGAAAGCGUGGGGAGCAAACAGG
rnacentral:rRNA from 1 species